GUGGGUGUAGCUCAACGGUUAGAGCAUCGGACUGUGGAUCCGAAGGUUGGGGGUUCGAUUCCCCUCACUCACC
rnacentral:tRNA from 1 species